GUUACAUCUUUACCGUAUAACUGCAUGGAUGUCUUACUGGAAAAGUUGAUGUAACUCCUUUUCGAUAAGGGACAGCCCACCUCCGGUUUGCACACUCAGCCGCCCCCGCAUACACCUCCCCAUAUCUGGCAAAAAUAGUGAACCAGUGAACAGAAAGAAGACAAAAGAUCACAAGCAAAAAUCUGCCAGAAAAGGACUUUACAAAAUCUAGCAGAAAAAUGGAUCCCAGUAAGUCUUCAUAUGUGCCUCAAUCCAACUGGAAUUCAUCAGGGAAGCAGCCCGCACCACCACCAUACCAGGUCAACCCAGGAUACACUAACCCUGCAUAUUCUCAACAAGCGGGUUAUCCGAACCCUUCUGGAUAUCCUGCACAGCAAUACGGACCUCCGGGUGGUCAGCCAUGCGUACAGGCCCCUUAUCCAGGACAGUCUACGAUCACUGUACAGCCGACUGUUUAUGCGGGCCCCACUCCUCUGGCCCAUCCACUGCCAGAUUACCUGUGUUACUCUAUUUUUACCAUGCUUUGCUGCUGUUUACCUCUGGGCAUUGCUGCUCUGGUUUACUCCAUAUCUACUCGAAAUGCAAACAUGUCUGGACAUCAACACGAUGCACGGAAAAGCUCCAGAAUGGCGCGCAUCCUUAACCACUCUGCUCUUGGUAUCGGCAUCACCAUCCUUGUGUUGUACAUCAUCGCCAAAGUCUUUAACAAAAAUGGUUCACCAUAGAGGGCCCAAUGAGAGAUUUCCAAAUAUUAAUACCACAAACAAUGUUACAAAUAUUUUAUAAACACAUUUGAUAUUCUGCCUUUAAAUGUGUAAUGUAUACAGCUUUUUUACGCUUAACAUUAAGUGGUUCAGUUGAUGGGGCAUUAAGGAAUGAUUCAGCAUGUUUAUUGACUGACCAAUUUAUGUCCAGGCUUUUAUUAUCCACUGAAUUUAAACAAAUGCUUUGAAUGUUUCCUGCAUUUUAACAGAAUAUAAGCUUUGUGGUAAAAGUAUCAUAACAUUUGUUGUUUUUAAAUACAUAUUGUAUUAAAACUUCAGGUGACCAAAAUGUUCUCACUGAAUAUAACCACAUAGCUGGUUUAUUUUAUAGUCUCCUGUUGUACUGUCCUGUCCCAAACAUAUAUAGAAUUCUGUAUAGAUCAAUUCAUUUAUCCUUAUUCAUGUUUUUUAAAGAAAAUAAAUACGGUAAUCGUCA